AACGUACGCUGGCGGCAGGCCUAACACAUGCAAGUCGAGCGAGGACUUCGGUCCUAGCGGCGGACGGGUGAGUAACGCGUGGGAACGUGCCCUUUGCUUCGGAAUAGCCCUGGGAAACUGGGAGUAAUACCGGAUGAGCCCUUUGGGGGAAAGAUUUAUCGGCGAAGGAUCGGCCCGCGUUGGAUUAGGUAGUUGGUGGGGUAAUGGCCUACCAAGCCGACGAUCCAUAGCUGGUUUGAGAGGAUGAUCAGCCACACUGGGACUGAGACACGGCCCAGACUCCUACGGGAGGCAGCAGUGGGGAAUCUUAGACAAUGGGGGAAACCCUGAUCUAGCCAUGCCGCGUGAGCGAUGAAGGCCUUAGGGUUGUAAAGCUCUUUCAGCUGGGAAGAUAAUGACGGUACCAGCAGAAGAAGCCCCGGCUAACUCCGCG
rnacentral:rRNA from 1 species